rnacentral:rRNA from 1 species
GACGAACGCUGGCGGCGUGCUUAACACAUGCAAGUCGAACGGAAAGGCCCUGCUCUUGUGGGGUGCUCGAGUGGCGAAGGGGAGAGGAACACGUGAGUAACCUGCCCUGGACUUUGGGAUAACUUAAGGAAACUGGGGCUAGGACCGGAUAGGAGCUUCUGGUGCAUGGGGGGGGUUGGAAAGUGUCGGCGGUUGGGGAUGGGUGCGAGGGUUAUCAGGGUGUUGGUGGGGUAGGGGGUGUCCCAGGCUUUGAAGGGUAGCCGGCCUGAGAGGGUGGCGGGCCCCAUUGGGACUGAGACACGGCCCAGCCUCCUACGGGAGUCAGCAGUGGGGACUAUUCCGCUAUGGCCGCAACCCGGGUGCAGUGGCGCCGCGUGCGGGAUGACGGCCUUUGGGUUGUAAACCGCUUUUGCCUGUGUCGAAGCGUGAGUGACGGUAAUGGGUAAAGAAGCGCCGGCUAACUACGUG